GCAGAUUCUAUGUCAUUUUAUAUAUAGGACACGGACAUCUUGGAUUUGGAACGCUUGAGGGUCCAAGAACCAAUGCUCCAUGAUACCAAGGGACAACGAUAUGAAUAAAGGACUAGGCGAAUUCAACGAAGGGAAAAAUUUCUGGUGGCUUAGGGUUGAAAGAUCAUCAUAUGGAGCAAAUGUGGGGGUAAACAUGAUGAACUAG
rnacentral:lncRNA from 1 species